AGCUAAGUUUGUUAUUGGUAUGAGCUUUUGUGUGCAUGCACACUUCUUCAGAUACACUUCUUUGUAUCUGAAGAAGUGUGCAUGCACACGAAAGCUAGGCAGAGAGAUAACAACUG